GGGAGGAUCACCUCCUUGGACCUGCUCAUGAUGCAGAGUUGGCUCUGCCCCAGCCCUGGGGCUGCCCCCACCCCAAAGCCACUUCCAGACCUGAGCUUGUCAAGGGCCAGGGCUAAGAGUCAGCUGACUGUUAUCACUGACCCCAGACAGCCCCAGGUUCAGUUUGAGACCUCGGCUUCGCUGGGGCAGGGCUAACAAUCAGCUGAUUGUCAACCUCAAGCCUGGAACAACCCUCAGUCUAGCCAUGCUACACAUACAAUUUAUAGCACUAUACAAAUAAGCCAUAAAGAUGUUCCCCAUAUUGUGCAGAACAACUUUGUGACUGUUUUGCUACUUUAUGGCACCAUAAAUCAGCUGCAGAUGUAGGACUGUUACUAUUUAUUGUACAGUUAACACAUUAAUCUCACUGUAAUAGUAACAUGGGCCAGAAGUCUUAGGUGCCUAAAACCAUAGAAAUGAUAACUAGAUUUUAAAGGGAUUUGGGCCCUGAAUUUGUGUACUGUAUAUAUUUGUCAUACAUAUAUAUAUAUAUGUAUGACACUGCCUUAAGAUACCCCUAGAUAUCAUUAUCAUCUGGGGAGGUGUCAUCCAGAAGUAACAUUGUAUACAUCAUUAAGCAUAUGAAAUAUCAAACCUAAAGCACAGAUUGGAUUUAAAUUACUGGUACCAAGAACUAGAAUAUGAUUGUUUACAGUUGUAUACAUAGAAUUUGAUAUGAUUAAUCUGCUUUUUGGUGUGG